UACGUAGGUGGCAAGCGUUGUCCGGAAUUAUUGGGCGUAAAGCGCGUGUAGGCGGUUGCCCAAGUCGGGUGUGAAAGCCUUGAGCUCAACUCAAGAAAUGCACUCGAUACUUGGUGACUAGAGGACCGGAGAGGAUAGUGGAAUUCCCAGUGUAGUGGUGAAAUACGUAGAGAUUGGGAAGAACACCAGUGGCGAAGGCGGCUAUCUGGACGGUUUCUGACGCUAAGACGCGAAAGCGUGGGGAGCAAACAGG
rnacentral:rRNA from 1 species